UACUGUAUCACGAAUGUACAAGAAUUUAAUUGUAUUUUACAAAAUAAAAAUGCAAACAGCGUUUGUUUGUUUUUGUUUCCAUAAUAGAGUGUAUUCUGUUUGGAAUAUGAAGUUAUAGAAGGAUGAUUGGGUCAGUUACCUUAUUAAAGAGAGGAAGGUGGGGGCCAGACUGUGAUAUAUUUAACAUUACAGAUCACAGAAGUCUAUCAGCAAAUAACUGGGGAACCUGGCAUAAAAUGUCAAUAUACAAGGCAUAAUAUGUUAAUAAUAAUUACCACCAGUCAUGGGUGUGUGUAUAUUCUAACAAACGAUAGACUCUCACACAGGGUAACACUAUUAAAGAGAUACUAAUGAUAUAUAGAUUUAUAGCCUGUGAGCCCUAUUUAAUAAAACUAUAUUAACAAGAAUAUUUAUUUUAUUACAAUUAUUUGUAGUGUAUAUUUUGUUUUGUGAGCAUGGGAAUAAUAAUUCAUGUAUACAGUACAAAAUGUGUGCGAAAACAUCAGGGAAGUGACCUGUUCAACCCAUGGGGCAUUCAAAGGGUUAAUUCAAUUGAUAUGCAGAGAUAGGAUCAUAUAUAUUAUUCAUAUUACUGAUAAGAUGAUGUAUUGAUGAUAUAUAUAUAUAUAAAUGUUUAUUUUUUUUCGUUUUGCCUUUUGGUUUAGUCCUUCUCCUCGUUUAUAUGCCAGUCAUAAAGAGGUAAACGUUUUAUUAAAUAUUCCCUUUAACUUUCACUUUCUUUCACUGAAUAAUACAAUGGCAUCUUAAAAAACAAACAAAACAAAAAAAAGACAAUUUAACAUAUAAAAAAUGGAUUUAAGUUAAAUUAAAAAAAAAAUUAAAUAUACUGCUUAGUAUUAUUGUACACUGCAAUAU